AACUGCGAGUGAAGCGGGAAAAGCUCAAAUUUAAAAUCUGGCGGUCCUUGUGGCUGUCCGAAUUGUAAUCUAGAGAAGUGCUAUCCGCGCUGGACCGUGUACAAGUCUCCUGGAAUGGAGCGUCAUAGAGGGUGAGAAUCCCGUCUUUGACACGGACUACCAGGGCUUUGUGAUGUGCUCUCAAAGAGUCGAGUUGUUUGGGAAUGCAGCUCUAAAUGGGUGGUAAAUUCCAUCUAAAGCUAAAUAUUGGCGAGAGACCGAUAGCGAACAAGUACCGUGAGGGAAAGAUGAAAAGAACUUUGGAAAGAGAGUUAAACAGUACGUGAAAUUGUUGAAAGGGAAACGCUUGAAGUCAGUCGCGUUGUUCAGGGAUCAACCUUGCUCUUUUGCUUGGUGUACUUUCUGUUCAAUGGGUCAGCAUCAAUUUUGACCGGUGGAUAAAGGUUAGGGGAAUGUGGCAUCUUCGGAUGUGUUAUAGCCCUUGGUCGCAUACAUCGGUUGGGAUUGAGGAACUCAGCAUGCCGCAAGGCCGGGUCUUUGACCACGUAACAUGCUUAGGAUGCUGGCAAAAUGGCUUUAAUCGACCCGUCUUGAAACACGGACCAAGGAGUCUAACAUGCCUGCGAGUGUUUGGGUGGAAAACCCGGACGCGUAAUGAAAGUGAAAGUUGAGAUCCUUGUCAUGAGGAGCAUCGACGCCCGGACCAGACCUUUUGUGACGGUCCCGCGGUAGAGCAUGUAUGUUGGGACCCGAAAGAUGGUGAACUAUGCCUGAAUAGGGUGAAGCCAGAGGAAACUCUGGUGGAGGCUCGUAGCGAUUCUGACGUGCAAAUCGA
rnacentral:rRNA from 1 species